UCGGGUUGUAAACUGCGGAAGUACGGAACGAAAGGUCCUUUUUAAUACAGAGGGCUAAUGACGGUACCGUAAGAAUAAGCACCGGCUAACUACGUGCCAGCAGCCGCGGUAAUACGUAGGGUGCGAGCGUUAAUCGGAAUUACUGGGCGUAAAGCGUGCGCAGGCGGUUAUAUAAGACAGUUGUGAAAUCCCCGGGCUCAACCUGGGAAUUGCAUCUGUGACUGUAUAGCUAGAGUACGGUAGAGGGGGAUGGAAUUCCGCGUGUAGCAGUGAAAUGCGUAGAUAUGCGGAGGAACACCGAUGGCGAAGGCAAUCCCCUGGACCUGUACUGACGCUCAUGCACGAAAGCGUGGGGAGCAAACAGGAUUAGAUACCCUGGUAGUCCACGCCCUAAACGAUGUCAACUGGUUGUUGGGUGCAUUAGUACUCAGUAACGAAGCUAACGCGUGAAGUUGACCGCCUGGGGAGUACGGCCGCAAGGUUGCAACU
rnacentral:rRNA from 1 species